rnacentral:rRNA from 1 species
UACGUAGGGGGCUAGCGUUGUCCGGAAUCAUUGGGCGUAAAGCGCGUGUAGGCGGUCCGGUAAGUCCGCUGUGAAAGUCGGGGGCUCAACCCUCGGAUGCCGGUGGAUACUGUCGGGCUUGAGUACGGAAGAGGCGAGUGGAAUUCCUGGUGUAGCGGUGAAAUGCGCAGAUAUCAGGAGGAACACCAAUUGCGAAGGCAGCCCGCUGGGACGUUACUGACGCUGAGACGCGAAAGCGUGGGGAGCAAACAGG